rnacentral:rRNA from 1 species
AUUGAACGCUGGCGGCAGGCCUAACACAUGCAAGUCGAGCGGUUGAGGUAGCUUGCUACCGAUGCGGCGGCGGACGGGUGAGUAAUACAUGGGAAUCUGCCUGGUAGUGGGGGACAACGUUUCGAAAGGAACGCUAAUACCGCAUACGCCCUACGGGGGAAAGGGGGGGGAUCGCAAGACCUCUCGCUAUCAGAUGAGCC